AGCAAAAGCUGGAAACCCCCGUUAGAGGCUCACAGCCAGCCAUAGCAAAAAUCACCUUCCAUUUCUUGUCCUUCAAAAAUUAUUUUGUUGAUGCAAACCCGUUAUUUUGAGGUCCCUAAGUAGCGUGGAAGCAUCGUUGGAGCGAUCAAACCAUCAUUUUUCAUCUUUUGGAAACCCUAGGCUAUUGGAAAGUUGAAGAAGAAAGAUCGUGGGCAGCCCGAAGCCUAGUUUGGACUUAGCUUGAGUUGGAUCAUAUUGGAGAGCGUUUGAGGUACAGACGCACAGCCUGGUGAUCCACCUGUUUAGGACACCCCCUUCUGCUAUUCGGAGUGCUCCUCUCAUUCCGGAGCUUAUAUUUUUGGUAUAUAUAUUUGUUAGUGCAUUUAUAUAUAUUCGUUCAUGGGUACGGCGGGG